AUUUUUUACCAGUGCCCUUCCUCUCCUAAUUAUUAUUUUGUCUAAGCCACUGGCUUUUAAAUUCUCUAAAAUUUGAGAGUUAUUUUACAGUGUUUUUUCUCUUUAAGUUUAAUUAUAUAAAGAACAUAGGAAUACAUUACUGUGUUUUUCUGACGUCUGGAAUGUGAGAGAAGUCUCCUGACUGCUUUCCCAGUGUCAGUCCUACCUCUCGGCUCUCCUUUAUCAAGUUUGUUUUUCCAGAUAAAGUUACAGUUUAUUUCCAUUGAUUUAUUCAAGACUGUUAUAGUUUAAAGAUUCUAUUUUUUAAAAUAAAACAGAGCCCUUCUGUUUAAAUGAACUUUAUUUUGCACUUUAUUGUAUAUUUAAAUCAAAUGUGCUCACUGUUAUGCUAGGCACUUUGAAAGUACAAAGGGAGAAUGUUCGGUGUGCUCGGUGAGCUUUCAGUCACAGAGAAGUGAGGCAUGCACACAGAAUAAUGAGAAGGCAGUAUAACAAUAUGAUUAUCAGUUACCAGAAUAAAACAUGUCAGUGCGUUAAGUGUUAUAGUAGUAAUUAUGGUGGGCUUAAGAGAGCACAGAUAUUUUAAUGAAAAGUUUCAUCUUCGGGUCAACCAUGACAAAUUGGGGAAAAUUUGAAAAAUGGGAGGUUAUUCUAGGUAGAAUGACCUACUUGUUUCUGGAAAAAACAGAAGCAAAUGCUUAAAAAUAUGAAAAAGUAUUUGUUCUGGGAAUAGUAUAGAGAGACCAACUUGAUUCUCAUGUAUAAUUUAUAUUGGAAACAAUCCACAGUAUUGAAAUU